GAUGCGGGCGCAGCUACCAUGCAGUCGAGCGGUAACAGAUCCAGCUUGCUGGAUGCUGACGAGCGGCGGACGGGUGAGUAAUGCAUAGGAAUCUGCCCGAUAGUGGGGGAUAACCUGGGGAAACCCAGGCUAAUACCGCAUACGUCCUACGGGAGAAAGGGGGCUUCGGCUCCCGCUAUCGGAUGAGCCUAUGUCGGAUUAGCUAGUUGGUGAGGUAAAGGCUCACCAAGGCAACGAUCCGUAGCUGGUCUGAGAGGAUGAUCAGCCACAUCGGGACUGAGACACGGCCCGAACUCCUACGGGAGGCAGCAGUGGGGAAUAUUGGACAAUGGGGGCAACCCUGAUCCAGCCAUGCCGCGUGUGUGAAGAAGGCCCUCGGGUUGUAAAGCACUUUCAGCGAGGAAGAACGCCUAGCGGUUAAUACCCGCUAGGAAAGACAUCACUCGCAGAAGAAGCACCGGCUAACUCCGUGCCAGCAGCCGCGGUAAUACGGAGGGUGCAAGCGUUAAUCGGAAUUACUGGGCGUAAAGCGCGCGUAGGUGGCUUGAUAAGCCGGUUGUGAAAGCCCCGGGCUCAACCUGGGAACGGCAUCCGGAACUGUCAAGCUAGAGUGCAGGAGAGGAAGGUAGAAUUCCCGGUGUAGCGGUGAAAUGCGUAGAGAUCGGGAGGAAUACCAGUGGCGAAGGCGGCCUUCUGGACUGACACUGACACUGAGGUGCGAAAGCGUGGGUAGCAAACAGGAUUAGAUACCCUGGUAGUCA
rnacentral:rRNA from 1 species